rnacentral:lncRNA from 1 species
GCCGGCGGCAGGGGGCACGCGGGCCGCCCUCUGCGCCUCGGAGCAAUCAGCAAGAGCCUUGACAAGUGCUGCCAUAAGGAUCUGACUAUCUGGCUUUUUUGAAUGAUUCCUGAAGGCUGCGAUUCAAUGUCUCCAUGUAAUGGAAUUGAUUUCCUUCAGUUAAGUUGGUUUCUCCCUUGGUUUUCUGUGAUGGCUUUAACCUGCAGCGCCAUGAGCAGGCAAUGUGAAGGCUGUGGUUGGUGACUCAUGGCAUUAGUUUUGCCUCUGGCAUUGCUACGGAAAAUCCAUUUCCGUCCAAACUGAAGCUGUCUGUUGAGCGUUAUGUAGUGUGCUGCCUUCGUUUUCUUUUCAAUGAAAAGCUCUUCCAUCUAGAAAUACACGUUCAGACUCUUGCAUUCCAGGUAUGUUUCUGGGGAAGACUGGAAAUACUUUUAACCUUCUCCUCACGGAAUGUAUGAAGGCUGCUCCGAAAGUAAUGCCUCCUAUUUAUUCCCAUGGAAACUGCAACAGUUACAAAGAGUACAGUAACACCGUUUGAUAGAACAAAUUCUCAGCUACAAAGCACUAUUUUUCAACAUGGUCGCCAUCAUUAGCUAUGCAUUUUCACCCGUGAUGCACAAGAGCCUGUCCAGAACAUAGCUUAUCUUUCACGUUGCUGUUGAAAUGCACCACGCACCCACUCACUGUUCUCACAUCCACUGUUUUGUCUCCAUAAAUGUUCAGCAAGCGUCCAUGAAUGUCAGUGGGUGCCAUUUUUUCUGCGUGGAGAAAUCUGAUGAGACACCUUUCUUUCAUUCACCCUGCCUUGUCACAGACCAUUGUAUACGACUGUCCCUCUGCUGCCAUCUGUCACAUGGCAAUAACAUGUAACAGAAUAUUGGUAGGAAGGUUCAACCUCCACUGCCGUACCACCAGCAUCUACCUCUGAUGUUGUGGGCCAACAUAAUAAAAUAGGAGGCAUUACUUUUGGAGCAGGCCUUGCAUUUAGGGAGACAUUCCUCAAGGAUCAGUUUGACAUGGAUGCGUGAGGCAGGAACUCUUGAAUUUCACCGUGUCGAACAUCCAGGUCUUGGUGCCUGUGAGAUGAGUUUUCUCUUCUAAACAGUGGAAGUUAUCUCCUCUCCGCCUUCUUUCUGCCUGCCUUUCAUCCCAGCAAGGCAGGAAACUGGCUUUGCUAAUUCUUUAGAGAUCUCUGUGGCUUCCUAUCACUUACCUACCAGGUCUUUCUCCAGUAAUCUAUGAAGUCUUCUGUGAUGACAAGUGAGAAAUCUGGUGAUUGCUGCACAUCAGGUAUCAGUCGUGGAAGGCACACUCUGGUCUGGGAGCUGGAGGCAGGAAGCUCCUUGGCCUGUAAUCCUACAUUUCUACUUUAACAGCACAUACAAUUUGAGAUAGCUGUGAGCAAACGAAGCUGAAGGUUGGAAUUCAUGAAAAGAGAAGCGUUGUUUUUGCUAAUUGGCUAACAUCUGAAGGGUUUGGCAAUGUGAUUACCAGCUGCUAUAGUCUGCAAUUGAUGUCACCUUCUCUUUGUAUAUAAACAUUAGUCAUUUGCUAAAGAAUGUGAAAAACAGGUGUUCCCUGUUCAUUGGAAACCUAUUCUUUUAAUGGGAUACUAUAAGAUAGCACCUGACAUAGAACAAUCCCUCGUAUGUUUGCUGUUAUUAACAUAAACACACUUGAACAGUUCCUUAUGCGGUGCCAUUGGUAUGCGUAGCACAGCAAAGAUAAACAAAAUGACAGAUGCCUAAACCAGAUGAAACUACAAUUAACCUAAUGACAGACAAAAAUAAAGGAAGUGUGGCAGGAAAAUGUGAAGGAACAUAAAAAUCACUGCAAGCUGCACUCGUUAGCUUUGUUUUUUUCUUUUUAAAGAAGUACUUCUACAGUUUGUAGCCAAUACAGGAAGUGAAGGUUGAAGCUGUAACCUUGCAGAGGGAAAUUUGGCUUCCAGACGUGACUCUUUGAAAAGGUUUUGGAAUACAGGAGUGCUCUGCACACAGGAUGAGAAAAGACAUUGAAGAAUAAGCAGUAUGCAUGGAAAAUAACCCACAGUGAUUAGCGGAAAAAGGGAAUAAAGCUAUGUCCCAUAGGCGUGCCCUCUGGAGAGCUUCAACUCAACCUUCUUAUCAGCUGUAGAGCGCAGCAGGAAAAUUGGUACUGUGGCUCUGUAUGCACUCAAACUGGUAUGUUUAGCUUGAAUUUCCACGAACAGAUUUCUUUAGAAAAUUUCGAAUUUGUGCACAAGAUUAAAUUCAAUAGGCAUUAAAUAAAAUAUACCUAAAUGAGAACGUACUAAUAAAAAGCAGCUAUUUGUCUACAGCAAGCUUUAAACGUUCCCAAGCAGCGUGCUCAAGGACAUUCACAUGGAGCUGCUUUGGCAGAGCAGAGGCUCGCUAGGUCAGAACAAGGCUCCCUGCUUCCAUCAGUAGAGCUGCUGAGUGCAGGCAGAGCACUGGAUUCACCCAGUGGGCUCUGGGUGCCCCAAGCCAGCCCAAGGGCCAGCAGCUCAGCUCCCGCUCUCACACCCCCAUGGGAUCCAGUUAUCAUAAAACUGUGUUCUGAAGAUAAAAAAUGAUCCAAGGGAUGGAACAUCUCCCCUAUGAGGACAGGCUGAGGGAGCUGAGGAUUUUCAGCCUGGAGAAGAGAAGGCUCCAGGGAGACCUGGUAGUGGCCUUUGAGUAUCAAAAGAGGGGCUGUAAGAAAGAAGGGAACAGACUCUUUUGCGGGGUCUGCUGUGAUAGAAAAUGGGAAAAUGGUUUCAAACUAAAAGAGGGAAUAUAAGGAAGAAGCUUUUAAGAAUAAGGAUGGUGAGGCACUGGCACAGGUUGCUCAGAGAGGUGGCGGAUGCCCCAUCCCUGGAGAUACUCAAGCUGAGGCUGAAUGGGGCUCUGAGCACCUGAUGGAGCUGUAGGUGUGCCUGUCCAUUGCAGGGGAGUUGGACUUGAUGGCCUUUAAGGGUCCCUUCCAACUUAACGCAUUCUAAGAUUUAUGAAGAUUAGAGGGGAAGCUUUGAAGAUUGAGGUUACAAUGAGAUGAGGCAUGCUCAGAACAACACAGUUCCAAAUUAAAAGUAAGGUUAAUUUUUGUUCUCAUAAUCAGAGUUACGUUUUUAAUGCAGGAGAUAGACAACUACCUAACAGUGCGGAACGCUCAGCUGCGGGUGAGCAAUCAAGCAGUGCCCCAGUAGAGCUAAAACAUUUUGCUGGGUUUGUGACAGCAUCUUUUUUUCUCUUUUUUUUUUUUGGUCUGUCACAAAUUGCCAUCGUCUCACAGCCAAAAUUGUUGGAAUUUUUUCCAUUGUGCACGAAGCAUUUUUAAACAAUAAUUCCAUCUAUUCUUAGCGAGAUGUUCUUUGGUGUGAAUUCUAUCUAUUGUUAGAAAGUGCUUUUGAGAAAAUAUGAUUCUAAUCUUAUGGCUUUUUGCCUUGAUAUCAAGAGACUUACUACCAAAUAUGCAGUCAUAUCUUUUGUUAAUAGAACCAAGUUACAGGAUCUAUUCAUAGAGCAGUAAUAAAUAAUGGUGGCAGCGGGGAGGGAUAUAUGUCAUUUUAGUUCUAGAAAACUGAUACUCCCAAAGGAUAAUGAUAUGAGGAAAAUUAGCUGCUGUCAACCUAGUUCAUAUAUAGUCUGUAUUGUAGGGAAAAAAGAAUGUAUUGGAAUAAACUCUGUGGAAAGAAAAAUGACAUUUAUAAGUAAGUUUUUCCAGCCAAAAGCCAUUUUUUUUCUAUUUCAGCCCCAAAGUGCACCCCUGACAUUUGCAUCGAGGGGCAUAUUUAGAUAUUUAGUGCAGUACAGUCCCAAAACUUUAUCAGAACGUUGGAAGCUGUUGUAAACAAGGAAACCAAAGUCAGGAGUCUCGCAGCAGAAAAGAGAACACCACCUGAAAUGGUUGCUGCUCAGUGUCUAGGCUUUCCUUUAUUCCCAUGGCAGAGUACAGGCCAUGCUAAGCAAGCUGAUCAAAACUGCAGAGGAGCUAGUGGUGGGAGAAAAACACAUCAUCAUAAUGUAUGCCAAGUGGAGGGUGGCAGGGAGACCCAACGGAGUGCCAUGCCUUUCACAUACACAACUUUCACAUUCUGAAUAAUUGUAACUUCCCUCAGUGUGACUCCCACAUUGCUCUAUCAGACCUGAUAAUGAAGUUAAAUCAGUCCAGUCCUCGAUCUCCGAUUUAGGCAGAUGUUAAAAUGAUAUCUCACCGCUUCUCAUGCACAUCUCAUGCGCUGUUUUUGGGGUGUUUGGGUUUUUUGUGCUGAUUUGGUUCCAGGGAACAUGCAACGACCUACAGAUUUGUUUCCCUAAUCGUGUCAGCUAUUGGCAGUACUGGUGUCCAAGACCUGUAAACCAAGGAAUAGUUUUGUGUGCAGCCCACUUUUUGAGGACAGCCAGGCCAGAAAGCUGUGCAUGGCAGACUGGAUGUCUGUAGGAGCCAGCAACUGUGAAUACAAAAAAGCUGCAGUCCCUCAACUUCUCCCCACAGGUUUCCCCUGGCAAUCCUGGCAUUGGAUCUUGUGAAGGAAACACCUGGCCCUUGGACUACACAAAGUCUAACAUCAGAGGCGCCAAUCAGCGCUGUGAUGUUAUGCAUUCCAAAAGCUGAAAGCGUCUGGCGAAUGAAGCAAGAAACUGCACAAAGGGAAAGUCUGGUGAUUCAGUCAGCUGCUCCAUGCCCAGAGAAGUGGCCUACGGCCCUGCCCUUCCCACAGCACUCUCCAUUCCUCAUGCUGGUGGCCAGCCAUCUACUACAGACAUUACUGAAGAGCAGUACUUGCAUCGUCGCCUUUAGGCAACUGAAAAGUAUGACUGACAUAAAAAUCCAGAGCUUUCAAAUCCAGAGGCCCUCAUUGCUGGUAGAAACAAGAGAGGGAAAUAUAUUCAUAUUCUAGACAGGCACUAGAGAGAGGUUCUCUGCUUAAAACUGGACUAAAUCUCCAGCUUCAUAUGUCAACAUGAAGGGAGGAGUAACUCAGCACUGCUCUCUCCAGCAUCACAAGGCUCUGAAGGUACUGCCUCUGACAGACUUUUUUUCUCUGAGUGGAUGAGUUAUUGAUCAAGUAAGAGAUAAAAAAAAUAGGCACUUACUUUGUGCCACAUUGCUCUGAUCAGUGAUAGAAGCUCACUGCUGGAUACCGAUCUUAAUACAAUCUCAUGAACUCAGCAGAUCCUUUUCCUUAGUCUGCACUAAUGUCAUAUUAAGUGUCUUUGUGUUUUUUACCAUAUUAAGCAUUUCUGAAACUUGAAGAUUGAUUUUGGUUUGAUUUUAAAGGGCUGAGAGAUUUUAGAAUUAGAUUUUAAUAGCCAAUUAUAGAUUAUUAAACAGUGGAAAAAAUUUAAAGCCAUUAAAAUAAUCUUUUAAACCUUCCUUAAAAUUACAUGCGAUCCACUGAGAAUAUUCGUCCAGCUGUAUUUGAAAAAUAUUAAUUGGAAGUCAGUGCAAAUAUAAAUGCUAAUGUGAACUUAACCAGAACGUGAGGGUUUCUGAACUGGAAAAGCUCUCAGAGCACACAGAAGUCACCUGUCAAGGUGGUUUUGGGACAACCAUAUGUACUAUGGGAUGACGGAGGGCAAAAAUUACGGAGGGCCACUAUGUGACUAAUUCUGCUUACUUCUAUUUUGUUUGUUUGAACAUCAGAAAUUCCUCACACGUAUCCUGUGUCUUCCAGUGAUUUGUUACACCUCUGUAAAAUACUGAUUUCAUUCCUAAGGGUGUUUCUGCCUUUAAAGAGCAGUAUCUGUCUGGCUCAGUUGGCAGUGCUGACCAGAAUAAAAACAAACAAACAACAAAAAACGAAAAUAAAUGAACAAAUAAAUGAAAAACAUCCCUGAUCAAAUAUCAGUAACUGUUACAGAACAGGAACUAAAAGAGGGGAGAUUUAGGUUAGAUGUUAGGAGGAAAUGCUUUCCCCAGAGGGCAGUGAGGUGCUGACACAGCUGCCCAGAGAAGCUGUGGUGCCCCAUCCCUGGAGGCACUCAAGGCCAGGUUGGAUGGGGCCCUGGGCAGCCUGAGCUGGUGGGGGGCAGCCCUGCCCACAGCAGGGUUGGAGUAGGGUGGGCUGUGAGGUUCCUUCCAACCCAAAUCAUUCUGUAAUUCUAUGAUUAUGAAUGUUAUAUUUCAAUUAAUGUUAUCAUAACAAUGCUAUGGAUAUGAUUUUUCUUAUCUCAGCUUGCUGGGGAAUAGUGUAAAGAAUUUUCUGAAUGGGUAUAGCCUUUGGGGUGCCUGAGAUAAAGUAUUUUCACACACAUCCACCCCAUGUGAAACGUGCAGAAAGCCAAAAUAAACCACUGAAUUGGAUUUUGCCUUCGCUUCAGGAAGGACAGAAUAGUAGGGACUAUUUCUCAUACUUGAUCGCUAAUUUGUUGGCCAGUCAUUGUGGCAAUUAAGGAAAAAUGAUCACCUCAGUCCAAGCUGAGUGAAAUAAAGGGGAGAUUUCUUGUUAUGGCUGGGAAAAUCACAGAAAGCAUCACAGAAAUACAGAAGGAGCUAUGAUGGAUAUGCAUGGAGAAGACAGAGAACAAAUGCAGCAAAUAGGAAGCAUCAACUACUGAUAUGACAGAGAUUCAGAAUCACAGAAUGUCUUAGGUUGGGAGGGACAUCAAAGCCUACCCAGUCCCAACCCCUGCUGUGAACAGGGCUGCCCUCCACCAGCUCAGACUGCCCAGGGCCCCAUCCAACUUGGCCUUGAGCACCUCCAGGGAUGGGGCACCACAGCUUCUCUGGGCAAAUGAGAGGUAAUGUUCCCAAAAUGACUAGAUAAAGAUCUUUGCCAUAUUUAUUGUGGAUGACAAAACAAUUGGAUUAAUUCAAUAGAGAAAAUCCCACAGGAGCUGUUAAGUACAAGGAUAUCAGCUCUGGGUUGGACCAUCCUUUGCUGGAGAUUGGAAGACAGUUGUUGAAAAAUGUCGCUGUAGUUCUGAUUUGUUCUUCCAUGGGAAACUGCCAGCAGCCACAGUUAGGAACGUGAUGCUGGGCUGGAUGAACGUUGGUUUGACUUGCUACAGUCGAUCUCAGAGUUUUCAUAGCACGUUUCCAGUACCACAAUCACAAUGUUCACUGCAAGCGUUAUUCUCCUAUUACUGAACUGGAACGUAUAUUUACUGGUGUGCAUGCAAAUGGGAAUGUUUCUUUAGAAGAAGAAUGGAGGAGAUUGUGGGAGGUGGUUUUGUGUUGUUUACUUCCCUCAGAGUAUGCAGCGCCACAGACAAUACAUCUUUGGAUGGAAAUAAAAAAAUGUGCUUUUGUAAAACAAAAUUGGGUAUAUUCUGCACAGCAAACAUCUUGUGCUGAAAUAAAUAUCUCUUGGGUGAUGUCAGUAUGAGAACAAGCACCACAGUGUUGUUGAAGUACUACUGGGAGUCACUGAGCAAAUGUGCCGGCGAACACUGCAGAAGCCUAUAUAUGGUAAUUUAUCUAAAAAUCUCCCUAUUUCUGUUUUUAAAAAGUUUUAUGCAGGAGAAUGAAUAUGUCUACCAUCUUUCAAGGCAGCACAAGACAUGCACCAGCCCUCAGACCCCACAGCCUUCCAGCAAGCGCUCCAACAGCGAGAUGGGGCCUCCCUCCCAUGGACAGGAGGGGAGGCAAAACCAGGACCUGCUGGGGCCGAGAAGUUGGGUCUGUGGCUGACAGGUGUAUUAAAGCAUGCUGGCAUGAAAUGUCAGUUUUUCUUCUAGUGAAUAAACAGUUUCUUUCUUUAUGGUAACUGGUGACAGUGACAGAAGUAGCACAAAACUAUUAUUGCAGACACUGAAGCUAGGAUAGUAUGGGCUAAAUAUAGUACUAUAUGCCUAAGGUUAUAAUCUCGUGGAGUUGAAAUGUAUUUCACAUGCUUGAGUUUACAGUGUUCUCUGCUUGCAUCAACGCAGGUUCUCCCUUGCACUUCACCACCUCCUCCUCUCACCCUUGGGCCCUCUAGCUCUCCGAACUCCAUUUUGUUCUGGGCACAUGACAAGUCUGAGCUCAGACUGAGACUGUUUCUCAACGUUUUUUUUUUUUUUUAAUAAGAAUUAAUAGCAGCAUGAAUAAUGAGGCAGAAGGAAUAACGUGCCAGUAUACAAUCAUGCUGCAAAUGGUUCAAACCAUUAAACCAUUUUAGGUCCUCUGUGGCCAAUUGCUGGGACCUGGAUGGAGGAGGAAAAAACAAUCGCAUUCUGCCAGAAGUUGUUAAAUUCCUGCGAGCGAAUGCGGUCCUGACUUAAUUAUCACUUCCAAGAGCCUAUUUAUAGUUGUCUGGGAAAGCACUUAAGAGAAAUAGGCUUAAGUUUGCAAACAGAGUAAGUGGAUGAGUAUUCCCAGCAAAGACAGAGAGGGGAGAGGCAACCCCCUGCCCUUCCAGUCCUCCUAGUGGGAUGUCAGCGCAGGAAUUCCAUGCUGAUGGGACCAGCUCCUUGGCUCACCAAGUUCCUACAUGGAAUUUUAGAGAUUCGAAAUCAUAAAUGUUGCACAACUUACUGAUGAGCUUCAAACUUGGAAGUUUCCUGGGACAGAACAGCCCCCAGGAUGGCAUACAAAGCAUUUCUUGGGUCUCCAGGACAAACAUAUACAUACACAUAUAUAUAUAUAAAAAGCUUCACAUAAUUAUAAACAUCCAAAAUGCUUUGAUAGAUGACAUGCUAAAUCUGUACAUGUAAAUGGUUAGCAGGCUGGGGCUGCAGUAUGAAUAACUGAAUUUGUCCAGGGAAACAUGGCCAGUGGGAUUUCCUGAGUACAAGCACUUACACUGGUCUCAGCAAGCAAAUACUGACAGCUGAUAAAUAAGCACAGAGAAAUGGUAUAUGGGAAUGGUAUAUGGGAACGAGGAAGAGAAAUUUACAUUGCCUUUAUCCCAGGCCUUUUGGAGACAAAUGAGUAGGUGCUAUGAAAUGGAGAGUCAGAGCGGGACGUGAAAGCUGCCUGUAAGCAGGCCUGCACAUGCAGAGGAAUUGAUUUAUAGUCAAAUCCAUUGCUACAGUUAUUUAAUACCUAACUACUGCGUAUUUCAUAAUUUCUCUGCUUGUAGCUGAUAAACUCUUAUUAAGCUGUGAAGCAUGGAGGAGUAGCAUAUCUUACUGUUUCUACGUAACGUGGUAUCUUUACAAUGUUCCAUUCAAUAACUCUACCUGUAUAAUGUGUAUUAAAUCAAUUUGGUCAUGCCAUGGAAUUUCAAAUUUGCAGUACAAAAGCACAUUACAUACGUAUUUCAGUGUUUUAUGGGCAUAAUUGUGUGUGAACAAAUAGCUACAUAUACAUUUUAUUGCACCAAGUAUCUUAAGCACUUAAUUUGCACUCAUGCAAAGGCUAACUACAGCCUCAACCCUUGAACUAACAACUCUGGAAGGGACUGUUCUCUCCCUGUCUCCUACAUUACCUGCAUGUUCCACAGGUCAGCUUCAUUUGGCAGAAGUUGUUCCUGCAACCCAUCUACUCAUAUAGCGCCUUAUGGAGGUGCAGCUCUUGGGCCUUUUAAUGUUAUUUCCCUACCAGAAAGUGAAGCACCAAAUAACAGCCUGUUGUUAUUUCUUUGUCUGUAUGUGGACUACUGACCCAGAAAGCCGUAACUAUAGAUCUUCCCAGUUCCAUUUAACUGGAAUAACCACAAGGAAAAGAAGAGAGGAGAAAAAUAUCAAUGACUGCAAAAACCAAUCAAACUACUGCUCCUUUUCUCAGAUGGUCUUGUUUUUAUUGGAGGAAUAAGCCUUCUCUUAAAUUAACACCUCCUGAUAAAAUACCGUUGUUUGUGGAAUCUUUCAGUAAGACUCCAUGUGAGAUUCAGACUUAUCCUCUAUUUUUGCCACUGAUAUUAGAUUUUCAGUCUAUUCCCUGUGUGGAAAUACCCUGCCCCAAGAACACCUUACCACAUCUGUUGAGUGUGCAGGGCCACUUGCCUCCUUCCCCUGUACGUACACACAGCUCCCUCCUCUGUCACACCCAGUGACUUUACAUUUCUGCUUUGCUUCUCAGCACCCUUCACAUCUGGACUUGGGCCAGAGGACAAUCACUGACAGACCUUCUGCUUCUGGAGCAAAUAAGGGUUUGUGGUUUUGGUUGGACUAAAGAGAUUUUCAGAACAUUUUAUUUCCUUUAUAGUGGGUGACUGUUGAUAACACAUCCUACUUCAUGCUGCAUCUCUCCAUGUUGUCUGUUACACCACUGCUGAACCUCUAUGUCACCCAUGGGGAUUGGUGCUUGCCCAGUUCCCUUUCCAUGCUAUCCCUAUUGCUAUCCAGGACAGAUUGCUCAGCAGAAAAGCAAUUCAGUCAGCUAAUGGGCUGCUAUAUGUAGCAUGCAGGUUUAUUUGUUUUGGAGAGGUGAGCCCCCCACAGCUGUCCAAGCUUGAUAGAUGACUUUGAUAGCGAUGAUGGGGGAGCCUUCAUUCUGCCAUUCUCAAAGACAUCUGUGUUCACAGAGAAAUGAGGAAGCUGGAGCUUGUUAUGUACCAUCUACAGUUAGAAGAGCUAUCUACAUGUUUGACUGAAAAUGCUACCACAUAACAUAUAUAUAAUUAUGGACUUGGUUAUAAGAGGACGUCUAAUGGAGCAGAUGUGUACAAAGGAUAUUUGACAGUAAAAACUGAACAUGGC